rnacentral:lncRNA from 1 species
GAGAUGUGUGUACGUGUGUUAAGUCUCUUCAGUUGUGUCUGACUAUUUGCAAUACUUUGGACUGUAGCCCACCAGGCUCCUCAGGCCAUGGGAUUUUCCAGGCAAGGACACUGGAAUGGGUUGCCAUUUCCUCUUCCAGGAACCCUAGAGGUCCAAAUAGCUUCACCCAGGUUUGAGAAGUCAUUCAAGAAUGUUGGAAACCAAGGCAUGGUCUGCAUAAGAACGUCCAUGACUUCCGUCCCAUCUCACAUCAGUUGAGGGUUCCCCAGGAGACUCUCCACCGUUCCUCAGAAGGUUCUGCUUUUUGCUGGAAAGAGCUACAUGAACAUACGACUGAGAUUGUUUUGCAAGACUUGGUGACCUACAGCUGGUCCACAGCUAAUUGCUGGAGCCUCACUGGAGAUGUAAAUACUGUAGUUUCGGGACACACACCUGAAGAGCACAAACCUCUAUGUAAUGGGUCAGAGAGCAGCAGUUCAUUUCUUGAUGCCUUUUUCACAUAUGCACCAUCUGUAUACUGAAUGACAUGCAUGGAAAAUGUGUUUAACGGUGGAGAAACAGAAAUGCGUAGUGGUUUUUGAGCUCUUAGUUUUGUGUCAUGAAAAUGAAUUUCAAUCCUGUCUGUCCCAUUUGUUAGCUGCAUCUGUUUUUCUAUCAGUACAAUGCAUGUAACGCUCUUGGGACAGUUAUUGUGUGAGUUAAAUAAAUGGAUGUGUGUAAAAACACUUGGCGUGGUGCCUAGAACAGAGUAAGACAUCAAACAAUAGCUGCUGUUAUUCUGUAGGAUAUAGUGUUCUGCUACCUGACUCUUCUGAAAAGGAAACUAAUACCCAAAUUUGUCUCAUGUGAGUU